UGUGGGAGCUGGCUUGCCAGCGAUGAGGAUUUUUCAUUCGAUAUUUAUGGCGACUGACACUCCGCCAUCGCUGGCAAGCCAGCUCCCACA
rnacentral:antisense_RNA from 1 species